UACGUAGGUGGCAGGCGUUGUCCGGGUUUAUUGGGCGGAAAGGGAGCGCAGGUGGUUUCUUAAGUCUGAUGUGAAAGCCCACGGCUCAACCGUGGAGGGUCAUUGGAAACUGGGAAACUUGAGUACAGAAGAGGAAAGUGGAAUUCCAUGUGUAGCGGUGGAAUGCGUAGAUAUAUGGAGGAACACCAGUGGCGAAGGCGACUUUCUGGUCUGUUACUGACACUGAGGCUCGAAAGCGUGGGGAGCAAACAGG
rnacentral:rRNA from 1 species